rnacentral:rRNA from 1 species
GNGGGCUAUCAUGCAGUCGAACGCACUUUCGUUAAUUGAUUUUGAGAUGCUUGCAUCGAAGAUGAUUUUAACUAUAAAGUGAGUGGCGAACGGGUGAGUAACACGUGGGUAACCUGCCCAGAAGUGGGGGAUAACACCUGGAAACAGAUGCUAAUACCGCAUAACAAAAUUAACCGCAUGGUUGAUUUUUAAAAGAUGGCUUCGGCUAUCACUUCUGGAUGGACCCGCGGCGUAUUAGCUAGUUGGUGAGAUAAAGGCUCACCAAGGCAGUGAUACGUAGCCGACCUGAGAGGGUAAUCGGCCACAUUGGGACUGAGACACGGCCCAGACUCCUACGGGAGGGCAGCAGUAA